CUCCUGGUGCUUAUCACAGGCUGUGUUCUUAUAUUGACUGUAUAGAAAAAGAAAGAGUAAAUCUACCCUACAUACACCUCAGUCCAGGCCUUAUGCCUGGUCUGUAUUGUGAGUGGGAGGACACGG
rnacentral:snoRNA from 1 species